rnacentral:rRNA from 1 species
GAGUUUGAUCCUGGCUCAGAUUGAACGCUGGCGGCAUGCCUUACACAUGCAAGUCGAACGGCAGCAUGAUCUAGCUUGCUAGAUUGAUGGCGAGUGGCGAACGGGUGAGUAAUACAUCGGAACGUGCCCUGUAGUGGGGAUAACUAGUCGAAAGAUUAGCUAAUACCGCAUACGACCUGAGGGUGAAAGUGGGGGACCGCAAGGCCUCAUGCUAUAGGAGCGGCCGAUGUCUGAUUAGCUAGUUGGUGGGGUAAAGGCCCGACCAAGGCGACGAUCAGUAGCUGGUCUGAGAGGACGAUCAGCCACACUGGGACUGAGACACGGCCCAGACUCCUACGGGAGGCAGCAGUGGGGAAUUUUGGACAAUGGGCGAAAGCCUGAUCCAGCAAUGCCGCGUGUGUGAAGAAGGCC